rnacentral:lncRNA from 1 species
CAUCAAUGGACUGUUGGUUUCUGCCAGAACACAGAUUGCUUUAAACUUGUGACAAAUCUUUGAGAAUAUAACAGGUAUUAAAAGAAAAAAAAAGACCAAUGAAUCCCACUUGUGUUUGGCUGAUUGAAAGUAUCUAAAUGGUGUGUUUUGCUUGGGAAAAAAUCUAACUUAAUUGGUACAUAGGAUUACUGUAAUCUCCCUUUAAUUCCAGAAGUGCCACCUGUUGAAAAGCUCAACCUAAGUGAAGUGUUGCUGUCCAAUUUGGAUUUGUCAGAGGAGUGGCCUAAUGAAGAGGAAAAGCUGAGAUUUCAGAAGCUGAAAGAAGAAAUUAUAAAAGAUGAAGAAUGUCUUGCUGACAAACAUGUAGGUGCAACCCAGGAUUUUACUGAAGCAGGGAAAAGGCACAGAGAGAACAAGUCAGCUCAUCUUUGCAGCAAUAAAGAAACGCUUCAGGAAUGGCACAGCCAAGCAAAGCUGAUGAAAGGAAAAAGAGAAAUGUUUAGAUUUUCACCUGCAAGUGCAGAUGCGAUACCAAAAAGUACACCAUAUGCCAUGUAUGACAUUGGUUGGUAUGCCAUGAAAGAGGGAGCUGAGAAAUGGGACCGAGCACCUGCAAAAAUGGAAGAAAAGUUGCUGAAAGUAAAAGUUGAAGCUGCAAAGUAUCUCAGAGAAGUGAAACUGGAACAGCACCUCAGACAGCACAUGGACAUGAUGAAAGCAAGAGGAGAAAAGUUAACAGGAACAUCCCAAGUGGGAGCAAAGGAAGCAGAGCAAGGCAUUGAGAGAGUGAGUGUCUCCUCUUUUUCGGUAAACCCAGUGCUCUGCGCUGAUGAACACUUGUUUGUUUGGCAUUUCAUCAAUUUCACAAAAAUGUCAGGUAGCAAAUAUUUUUAAAUUAAGUUGCUAAAAAAUUAACAUUUUCUUUUUGCUUAUGCUAAAAUUGUCUGUAUGUAUGUGUACACGUACACAACAUGCACAUAUAUAAACAGACAUAAAACAUCUGUAGUGCUC